AGCCCUAAGUGGGUGGUAAACUCCAUCUAAGGCUAAAUAUGACCACGAGACCGAUAGCGAACAAGUACCGUGAGGGAAAGUUGAAAAGCACUUUGAAGAGAGAGUUCAAGAGUACGUGAAACCGUUUAGGGGUAAACCUGAGAAACCCGAAAGGUCGAAGGGAGAAAUUCAUUCGCGUUUCGCCGCAGGAGGCGGAUGGUUGUGUGACGGGAGACGUUCACGUUUCCCGCAAUUACCGUUCGUCGAACCGGUAGCGAACGCGUGCACUUUUCUCCUGGUAGGACGUCGCGAUCCGUUGGGUGUCGGUCUACGGCUCGCGGUGGAGACCGUCCGUACUUGUACGGAUGGACCCGUGUGUCCCGGCCGACUCGCUCGACGGUAUACGAAAGGUUUAAGGCCGCUCUUGGAGCGUUCGGCUCGUGGCAAGCGCGCCAGAUGUGUCGGCGAUCGGACCUAGUGCCGAUUCUGACCUCUGGUGACUGUUGGCUACGAAGUUCUCGAACAGACCUCGGACCGAUCUGCGACGCUAUAGCUUUGGGUACUUUCAG
rnacentral:rRNA from 1 species